rnacentral:rRNA from 1 species
UACGUAGGGUGCAAGCGUUGUCCGGAAUUACUGGGCGUAAAGAGCUCGUAGGUGGUUUGUCGCGUUGUUCGUGAAAACUCACAGCUUAACUGUGGGCGUGCGGGCGAUACGGGCAGACUGGAGUACUGCAGGGGAGACUGGAAUUCCUGGUGUAGCGGUGGAAUGCGCAGAUAUCAGGAGGAACACCGGUGGCGAAGGCGGGUCUCUGGGCAGUAACUGACGCUGAGGAGCGAAAGCGUGGGGAUCAAACAGG